UACGGAGGAUGCAAGCGUUAUCCGGAUUUAUUGGGUUUAAAGGGUGCGUAGGCGGAUAUGUAAGUCAGCGGUGAAACUCACAGGCUCAACCUGUGCCGUGCCGUUGAAACUGUGUAUCUGGAAUGCGGAUGCUGUGGGAGGAAUGUGUAGUGUAGCGGUGGAAUGCAUAGAUAUUACACAGAACACCGAUUGCGAAGGCAUCUCACAAAGCCGUUAUUGACGCUGAGGCACGAAAGUAGUGGGGAGUCAAA
rnacentral:rRNA from 1 species